rnacentral:rRNA from 1 species
GACGAACGUUGGCGGCGUGGAUUAGGCAUGCAAGUCGAACGGUAUCAUCCUUUCGGGGGUGAGAGAGUGGCGAACUGGUGAGUAACACGUAGGUUAUCUACCCUCAAGACGGGACAACCCAGGGAAACUUGGGCUAAUACCGGAUGUGAGCAACUUUUAGUUGUUUGAAAGGUGGCGUAAGCUGUCGCUUGGGGAUGAGCCUGCGUCCUAUUAGUUAGUUGGUGAGGUAACGGCUCACCUAGGCAAUGAUAGGUAGGCGGCCUUAACGGGUGGUCGCCCACACUGGGAUUGAGAUACGGCCCAGACUCCUACGGGAGGCAGCAGUCGAGAAUAGUCUACAAUGGUCGGAAGACUGAUAGUGCGACGCCGCGUGAACGAUGAAUCCCUUCGGGGUGUAAAGUUCUUUUAUAUGUGAGCAGUGCUUCUUAUAUUAACAGUAUGGGGAGAGAGAUAUUAGCAUAUGAAUAAGCAACGGCUAACUCCGUG